GGCUGGUUGCUUACGUGGUUCAUCAUCUCAAGCUGUGAUGGAAGGAAGUCUUCAACUGAGUGGCUCAAACAGGUUGAACAUGUUGCAUGGUAGCAACAGUAACAAGGUUACACGUUCAUCAGUGACAGUUGUUAGAGCACAACAGCAACAGGAAAGUAGCAGAAGAGCAGUGAUUGGUCUUGUUGCAACUGGUUUGGUUUCUUCCUCUUUUGUUCAAGCUGUUCUUGCUGAGGCCAUUCCCAUUAAAGUUGGUGGCCCUCCUGCACCUUCUGGUGGCCUUCGUAAGUAUUCAUAUUUACUCACAAAAUUUUAGACAUAUUUCAUGCAUUUUUUUUAUUUUUUUUUUUUGUUUCUAAUUUCUGUUGUCAAUUCAAGUAACAUGUUACAACCUUGGUAUAAGCAAAAAUACAUGUUUUUACAUUUAUUAAGAAUGUAACUCUGAUGAGAUGAGAUGAGAUGAUAUUGAUAUUUGAAUUAACUGAUUUAUGGCAUUCAGAACAUCGGUGAUCAUUAGAUCAAGACCGAACAGUUCAAAAAAUUGCAGACUUUCAUUUUUGUUUUAUAAUUCAAGAUACCGAACUUGAUUCUGAAUUGUACCAUCUUGAUUAAAUGGCCAUCGAUGUUCUUAAUGGGAGAAAACGGUGAAUCCCUACUGCAUGGAAUCCCAUUUGUUUCUUUUCUUGUAAUUGAAUAGCAACUAUGACAUGUUACACACAUUAUGUCUUAUUUGAUUAUGUGUGAUACAUACACAGUUUAACACUUAGUUGUAAGUGUUGUUUUUUUGACAGAACACUAAGUGUAAGUACUGGAUGUUACCUUCCAAUAAUUUUUAGAAUGUUGAAUUAACUGAUUUAUGGAAUUUGUCAGCUGGAACACUGAACUCAGAUGAAGCAAGAGACCUUAAGCUACCAUUGAAAGAAAGGUUCUACCUUCAACCAUUGACACCAACUGAGGCAGCUGCAAGAGCUAAGGAGUCAGCAAAAGAAAUUGUUGCGGCUAAGAAGUUCAUAGACCAGAAAGCUUGGCCAUAUCUUCAGAAUGAUCUACGUCUCAGAGCUGGUUAUCUUCGGUAUGACCUUAACACCAUCAUCUCUGCAAAGCCAAAGGACCAGAAAAAAUCCCUCAAGGAACUCACCGGAAAGCUCUUCCAGGACAUCGACAAUGUAAGUAUACAAUAUUACAUUUUCAAGGUUAAAAAUUGUAGUUGUAGUACUGGUUGCACCGCAGUUCUUGAGACUGCAGAUAAUCACGUAUUUGGAUUGACUAUAGUCAAUAACCCACGCAUUCAUGCAGUCAGCACAUUUGUGGUUGAUGGAUCGAGAUUGGGCAAUCCAGAUUUUAAGCUCGAUAUUUUAGUUCUUUAGAAAAAAAAUCAAAAUAUCCAAUGAAAUCUAGAUUGUCCGAUCUCGAUCCAACUUUACAACCAAUGUGCUGGCUAUGGAAUGCGUGACAUUUCUGACAGUAGGCAAUCUAAAUUCGAGAAUCGCGGCCAACGAUAGCUAAUGUCUCCAUUGUGGUUAACAAUAUAAAAAGCCACGCUGUUGCGUCUUAGACUGCAGUCGCAGACCUUUUUUGAAAACAUAAUCCGAUAGCUCUUUAUCAAUUUAGGGUUGUGGAAAGAUUGGACUAAUUGAAAU
rnacentral:lncRNA from 1 species